GCGCGAGUGGUGAAACUGGCAAACACGCAGCCUUGAGGUGGCUGUGCCUUAAAAAGCUUGGAGGUUCAAGUCCUCUCUCGCGCACCA
rnacentral:tRNA from 1 species